rnacentral:lncRNA from 1 species
UAAAGGCUCUUAUGGAUAUCCAUAGCGUAAUCGACCAUGUUUGUCUUGUUCAAAAGCUCAAUCUUUGCUUUCAAGAUCUGUUCAUCUGGGUAUAGUUGUCGCUCUUGCAAGAACUCCAGCAAUGGAAACACUAAGUGCCUGUCUAGGUUCGGGCCGAUACGUGGGGUUAGAUCGUAAGUAGCCAUUGCCAGGGUUUACUCUGGUUUCUGGUUUCGUGCUUUUUGUUUGAUAUAAACAAAUUUAUACUAUAUAUAUUCCUUCUCCACUCCCUUAAUUCAACUGGAGUUAAGAGUUAAAAUAUAGUUUUAAAUUUAUUUUUUAUUUUCGAAUUAAAUAUAAUAAGUUGUUUUUACAAAAAGAAAAAUACAAACGAGUUUAAAAUAAUAUUUAUCAAUAUUAUUUAUAAUAAUUACUAGAUAAUUGUUGGUCAUGCUUAAGUAAUUAAGCAUGAUUCUAAUAUAUUUUAUACUUGUUUAAAUCUAUUUUGAUCUUAAAUAUAUGUUUAAAAUUUCGUUUAAGUCACAUAUUGUCUGUAUUCCUCCCCAUCCUUCUUUGGGUACAAACAAUAUUAUUUGGGCACGCACGAUUUUAGGUUUUUUUUUGUCCAUAAUGCCUUUUGGUUUUUUUAAAAAAAGUUUUUGGAACCCAUAGCUGAAAAUACCAGGGGCCACAAAGAGUUAAUUUUUUUCUUACUAGCCUUCAAGCAAAGACUUUGUCUAAUAUGGAGUGAACUAGGAGGAACUGAUCAUAAUAUCUCACGUCUUGUUUGUAGCCAUGAAACAGAAGACAUGCUCUAUGUGCUUUAAGAUUGUUCGACAACAAAGGAAGUUUGGUUACAGGUAAUAUCUUUUGAUAAAUAACAAUGUUUCUUCUCUAGGUCUCUUCCGGAAUGGUUGACUUCAAAUCUUGCCUAUCACGUCCUAUUACCUAGAAAGGGGUAAUUUGACCUUGUCUAUUCGGUUUGAUUGCAUGGCGCAUUUGGAAAAAUAGGGACCUAUUCAUCUUUCAAGACAUCACUUUGAUGACUUUUGAUACUAUCAAGGUCUAGUUCAGUUGGGUGCAACAGUUUGAGUUAAGUCACAAAGGCCAUCAGGUGGACAUACUUGUCCACUAACGAAGCAGUAGGUAGUGGUGAUGGCAAUGCUUCCGUUAAAGGUGUUCUGCAGGACCAACAUGAGAACUGGAUAUUGGGGUUUAAUGACUACUUAGAGAGAUGCUCAAUUUUUAAAGCUGAGUUACGGGGAAUUUUAGAUGGCCUAUUAGUAUUGCUUAGCAAAGGAUUCAGAAAGGCCACGAUUCAGUCUAAGGUGGUUAAGUUGGUUAACAAAUUCUGGUAUUACAAUGUUUAAAAGGAUCCCGAGAAUUUUAUGAGCUAAAGGACAAUAGAGCACUAGACACGUGCUUAGAGAACCCAAUCAUGCUGCUGAUUAUUUGACUAACAUGAAUUUACUCAAGCCUUCACGUCUUUGAUGAUACCCCAAAUGAAAUUCUAAAGAUUAUACAACAAGACAAAGAUAAUAAAGUUUUUGUUAAUCUCGUGUUGAUGCAGUUCAGUUUUUUAUUUAAACACUAAAAAACAAAUUUCGUUUAAGUGUACCCAUAUUUGUAACAUAUUUGUAAAUGGAUCAUUAUUAUUUUUAAGAGAGAGAUCCACUUACAUAUUAUUAUUUUUAGUAACACAUUUAAAUCCAAAGUUCUCAACACAACGCUAUACUUUUAAUAACUCGGUACAAGCAUUUAAAAAAUUUCUUGACAUAAGUUGAAAGAGCAGAAUACAAUUUGGAUUUAGAUAAUGAUUUAUCAGUCUUGUUCCUACUCAAAAACUAAAAUCACUGUUAAAUUUGUCUGAAAGAAAUAAACAAUCAGCAAAUAGCUCAAAAUUGCAUAUAAAUUCAAGAGCUUCCUCGUCCAACUUAACAUGCAGGCUGCGCUUGUGCGGGUUCGAGAAGCUGGCCGACUAGCUUGUAGGUCCGCCCUUGAAGGGCCUUAGUGUGGUCGAUUAGCUGCUCGUAACUGCAGAAAUCCAGUAUCGAAAUUGGAAGUCAUUAAGAGAAGAGGAACAAACAAAUGUAGUUAUGGAAAGAACAUAGUAUGAAAGAUGCACAAUACAAAGAACAAGGAAAUCUUACACAUUAGGUUGAUUAGGCUCCAUAAUAACAGUUCCAGUCUCUGAAUCAAUCUUUGCCUCAAGUUUCGAGUUUCGGAUGAGAUUCACAAUCCACCUCUCACCCUCCUCGUAAUUUAAGUUCAGUUUCUCAAAAAGCACCCUUGAAACACAUACAAAAUCCAUUUAAUGUAGGAUCAAAAUCUAAGACAAGCAAUUAAAACAACAUAAUCUCAUAAGUAAAAGCAUAUCUUGAAAGAGUUAAGAAGACAAAUGGGAAGUAAUCACUAUAAUAAGAGAUACUCGAGUCCAUGUUACUCAGAUUUGGGUGAGUUUCAGAUACCGGUAUGUUUAAUUGUUUUCUAAGUUUUUCCAUGUAUUGAAGGAUCAUAUCUUCAUAACCGCAAGACAAAUACUUCAAGAAAAAUGAACAGUCAGGAAAUGCAUAGAUAAUAGCAAACCAAAGGUUUAUGUUGUGAUGUUUUGUGAUCUGUGCACGUGCCUGCUCUGCAGACGAAAACAUGCAUUACAUCUGUUUUGAUUUAAUAUUUUGUACAAAAUUUCAUCAAUCCUUAACAUGCAAUUAGCCAAAAAGAAUUCAUAACUCAGUGCAAUGUUAUGGGAAACCCAGCAUGCAAAGCAGACUGUGAGCCUAUCGACAAUUAAACAUUCAAAUGGAAGUCAUUCCGUGUCAUUUACUCAUAAGAAGAAGUCAAUUAUACACAUAAGAAGCUAAUUAUAUAAGUUUGACAAAGCAGGAGCUUACCCCAUAUCAAUGCGCUGAUGAAUUCUGCAGUAUGUCUCGAAGAUAAAUAAACGAGCAUUCUCAAGAAACUCAUCUUUUAAUGGGACAGUAGAAAAGUUGCCCUCUUCAACUCUUUUUCCAAGGAAGGGAUCAUUCAGUAUCACCUACAACAAAGACGGGAAAACUAAGGGUGUAAUAGAUAGAUCCUACAAUUCCAAUAUCAAACAAAAGCUAAAGGCAACCAAAACAGAUGACAAAACUUCAAGCUAAAACAUUGGACAAAUUUAUGGUAUAAGAUAGUACAAUCUAACUUACUUCUUCGCACUCCUUCAUCUUCUUCUGUGCUCCGUCAAAUUCAUAGUUGACAUAAACACAUGCCAAAAACUCCGUGAUGGGAUCUUUGUAAGAGCACUGAUCUUGCUGGAUAACCCUGAUAAAUUCUUUGAAUUGAGGUCUUCUCCUUUUGUUGACAAUAAAAGCAGUGGCUAAGUACCUUAGAAGAUGGGGAGCACUGGUUUGAAUGGCGUUUAGAUACCUGGAAAGAAGUGAAAUCACCUCGUAAGAUGAGACAAAUACACAAAGUUGGUUAAUAUAAACCCAGAGAAAAUAAUGCGUUAACCAAUGGAAAAAAGCAGUAAAAACAUCUAAAUUCAAACACAAUUUUAUGUUUAGUUCUAACAACAAUCCCCCUUAUGAAACAAAAUUCCAAACUAAGCAGUAUGGCGAACAUAUCACCUACUUUAGCCUCAAAUCUUUGAACAAACAUUUUGCAAAUUACAUGGCAGGCUGUGCGUUAACUUUUCAUAUUAGAAAAACCAUGCAAACGAUAGAAGAAAUCCACAAAGUUUCUAAACAUGUUCCAUUCCAACACAAUCAAAACCGAAGCAUGUGAACACAGCAGGAUCUUGAAACAGAAGUAAGUAAUGGCAUAAAAAGACAGGAAAAUGCACAAAGAACAAAUAAGCACAGAUGUGACUACCACACAAAUGAUGCAACUAACAACAUCAGUAACAAGACAUGGAAACCUUAAGUUUAGUUGUUAAAGUGACAUACUUGUCUUGAUUAAAUAGGUCGAUGAUCUGUGUUCUUCCAUUGUCAUGGUUGAAAAAGAUGAAGAGGCUCCAAUGCAUAAGCCAUAUUCUACUCUGAACUUGGUUCAAAGGUGAUGAGAAGCUCUGCAGCAAAAAGACCAAUAAAUGAGUCAACGAAUAAUCGGAAAGCAAAUUGUCAAAAUAAAAACCGAAUAAUCAAUGGGGAUAUAACCAAAACCUUGGAAUCGAUUAUUUCUUUCAAACGAUUAAGUUCUUCAAGAGCAAUAUCCCAGUUUUGCAUCAGUAUCUCGGCAGCAAGCUUCCCCCACAAUGCACUCAAGCUCCUUUCGCUGUUAGUACAUAAAGCCCGAUACUGAUACAGAUAGUCAGCAGCACCAGAGUAGUUGCCACACUCAAAUUGGAAUUUUGCAUACUGAUAUAAUGCCUCUAUUUGAUCUGGACCAAUCUGUUAAAAAAAUAAUUUUAUCCACCAUUAAAUUAAAAAAAAACUUUAAUUAAUUCAAACCCAGGCAAAAUCAAAACUUUAACAACAAAGAGCAUGCUAGAAUUUUAGCACAAGAAAGCCUAUGCAUCUAUUUGGUUAUUCUUUAUAUUUUCCUUAAAAAUCACAGAAUGUUAUGACUAAUACAAAUUCACACUUGAAUGGGUUACUCACUAAAAAUCAAGAAGGGGUUAAAAUAACAUAAAAAUAACCUUAAAUUCAUCAAAAGGGGAGGGGGAACAGACCUGGUAGCGGUCAUUAAGCAUCUGGAGAUUAUACUGUUUAUCAGCACGCAGUUCCUGAACAGCGUUAGGGUUUUGCAAGAAAGUGACAAGAGGAGCGGCGGCAUCUUCCAAAGCUUUGAGACGAGCGACAACCUCGACUCUCCUAUCGACCAUGUCCUGAGGAACAUCAUCGGUGCGGUAAAGGCUCUUAUGGAUAUCCAUAGCGUAAUCGACCAUAUUUGUCUUGUUCAAAAGCUCGAUCUUUGCUUUCAAGAUCUGUUCAUCUGGGUAUAGUUGUCGCUCUUGCAAGAACUCCAGCAAUGGAAACACUAAGUGCCUGUCUAGGUUCGGGCCGAUACGCGGGGUUAGAUCGUAAGUUGCCAUUGCCGCCGACAGUGUUCUUAGGGUUUGUUCUGGUUUGUGACUUUUUUGUUUG